GACGAACGCUGGCGGCGUGCCUAACACAUGCAAGUGGAGCGACGAACCAGACUUCGGUCUGGGGCCAAGCCGCGAACGGGUGAGUAACACGUGGGUAACCUGCCCCGAUGAUCGGGGCAACCCGGGGAAACCCGGGCCAAUACCGAAUGUGGUCGCGGUCCGUGAGGACCGUGACGAAAGGAAGCUUCGGCCUCCGCAUCGGGAUGGGCCCGCGGCCCAUUAGCUUGUUGGUGGGGUAAUGGCCUACCAAGGCAUCGAUGGGUAGCUGGUCUGAGAGGACGAUCAGCCACACUGGGACUGAGACACGGCCCAGACUCCUACGGGAGGCAACAGUGGGGAAUCUUGCGCAAUACGCGAAAGCGUGACGCAGCAACGCCGCGUGGGGGAAGAAGGCUCUCGGGUCGUAAACCCCUUUCAGUUGGGACGAAGCUUCGCCGGUGAAUAGCCGGCCGGAGUGACGGUACCUUCACAAGAAGCCCCGGCUAACUACGUGCCAGCCGCCGCCGUAAUAC
rnacentral:rRNA from 1 species